UACGGGGGGGGCAAGCGUUGUUCGGAAUUACUGGGCGUAAAGGGCUCGUAGGCGGCCAACUAAGUCAGACGUGAAAUCCCUCGGCUUAACCGGGGAACUGCGUCUGAUACUGGAUGGGUUGAGUGUGGGAGAGGGAUGCGGAAUUCCAGGUGUAGCGGUGAAAUGCGUAGAUAUCUGGAGGAACACCGGUGGCGAAGGCGGCAUCCUGGACCACGACUGACGCUGAGGAGCGAAAGCCAGGGGAGCAAACGGG
rnacentral:rRNA from 1 species